rnacentral:misc_RNA from 1 species
GCUCAGUUUUUGCCUUUCACUGUCAUAAGGGCGCUCCACAUUCUCAAGAGACAUUCACGCGAGAAUCUCCGGAGAUUCUCAGCGAGAACUGUAGCGAGAACUUCUUCUGGGUACACACUCUCAAAGUUCUCAAAUAGUUCUCACUACAGUUCUCGCGCUCGAUGACGAUGGACGCAGAAGCAACCGCUGCGACAAAUUUAUUGUUAUGCGCAUUCGCAUAUUAUAAUUAUGCGUAUGCUAAAGAGAAAAAAGUUAUUAAAAAGAAGUGGCGAAAAAGAAGAUGGUGGAUAACAAGUAUUCAUCGUAAUAGAACAAGCCUAACUAUGGAUCAGCAGUUUUUCUGCAGUAAUAUCUUUCUUCUUGUAUUUUGGGACGAAUCAUGGCCACUAAAGGACCAUCAACACAGCCAAUCACACCAGGAAUUUUAAAUUUCUCAAAAAAUCUGCAACAAAAGAUAGAGUCAAACAGAAGUGUC